GAUGAACGCUAGCUACAGGCUUAACACAUGCAAGUCGCGGGGCAGCAUGGGGGUUGCUUGCAAUCCCCGAUGGCGACCGGCGCACGGGUGAGUAACGCGUAUCCAACCUGCCCUUCACCACGGGAUAACCCGGCGAAAGUCGGACUAAUACCGUAUGUUGUCCAUUGACGGCAUCCGAUUUGGACGAAAGGUUUGGCGGGGAAGGAGGGGGAUGCGUCCGAUUAGCUGGACGGCGGGGUGACGGCCCACCGUGGCGACGAUCGGUAGGGGUUCUGAGAGGAAGGUCCCCCACACUGGAACUGAGACACGGUCCAGACUCCUACGGGAGGCAGCAGUGAGGAAUAUUGGUCAAUGGGCGUAAGCCUGAACCAGCCAAGUAGCGUGCAGGAUGACGGCCCUAUGGGUUGUAAACUGCUUUUAUGCGGGGAUAAAGUGGCCCACGUGUGGGUUUUUGCAGGUACCGCAUGAAUAAGGACCGGCUAAUUCCGUG
rnacentral:rRNA from 1 species